rnacentral:rRNA from 1 species
UACGUAGGGGGCAAGCGUUGUCCGGAUUUAUUGGGCGUAAAGAGCGUGUAGGCGGCCAAACAGGUCAGCUGUGAAAACUCGAGGCUCAACCUCGAGACGUCGGUUGAAACCGUUUGGCUAGAGUCCGGAAGAGGAGAGUGGAAUUCCCGGUGUAGCGGUGAAAUGCGCAGAUAUCGGGAAGAACACCCGUGGCGAAGGCGGCUCUCUGGGACGGUACUGACGCUGAGACGCGAAAGCGUGGGGAGCAAACAGGG